GUCAGAGUUUCUCUGUGUAACAGCCUUGGCUGUCCUGUAACAAACUCUGUAGACCAAGCUGGCUCGAACUCACAGAGAUCUGCCUGCUUCUGCCUCCCAAGGGCUGGGGUUAAAGGCUUGUGACACUAUGCCCUGCAUGAAUAUAUUAUACAAGAACCCCAAAUUUUUCACAGCCAGUAAGGUAGAAUUCACAAUGUCUGACAUCCAAUCAAAGAUUAUCAGGCAUACAAAUGGCAAGAAUACGCAAGCCAUGAUUUCAGACAUUUAUGAGUUAACUUGAGGCAGAAGGCUUUAUAAAAACAAGGGCUAAGUCAAUUCAGUAAAUUGAUCUCUAGCACCAUCUUCUUGGGUGAGCUGGAGCCAGACAGGUCCUGGUACUUCUUCCAUGAGAAUCCUCAAAGUAACCCCAUCUCAGUGUAGGUAAACCUUUCUUCUCAUCUCCUGCAGUGCUCACUCUACCUGUACCUGUAAUCCCUGAGCACGAACCACCUGUUUAUCUCGUGUUCUACAGCAUCUGAAGACAUGAGAAGCGCCACCUUCAAGUGAACGUCACCAACCCGGUGCAGUGCAGCCUGCAUGGAAAGAAAUGCACCGUCUCUGUGGAGACCCGGCUUAAUCAGCCACAGCCUGACUUCACCAAGAACCGCUCUGGCUUCAUCCUCAGUGUGCCAGGGAACUGACGGAUGCACAUCAGAGCCAUGCCUCCUCUUCACCGCAGAACUGGGACUUGUGGGGAGCCAGAGCACACAGGACCCAGCUGUGGGAGGUGGGACAAAGCUGCAGCAAAGAGCGUGGAGUCCUGGCACUGCAGGCCAGGCCAGGGAGCCCACCUACGCCACACACCUGCCUGCUGGAGCCUGGCCCCUGAACCCCGCUGGGAAAGAGCUGCCAGCUUGCCUGUGUCUGCCCAGUGAAGAGCAUGCCUGUUCCGGAGGCCUUCCUGAGACCCCUGUCCAGCCUCAGUGCGGAGGAUGUGAGGCCUGUGGGCUGUGCAGGCUUGCUGUGAGAGCCUAACACGGAAGGCUGAGAGUGGACAACCGGCAGGAGCAGCAGGGCUUACAGAGCCAGGCUCACAUUCUCCUCACCUUGCCACCCUAACCCACCAAGUGUCUGUGUGUCACCUCCUCACGCCUCGCCCAGGACUUGAGGGAGUCACCUGGCUGACCAAGGUGGUUCUAGCCCCCCCCCCAUAACCCCUUUUGCAGAGCUGUGGGCCUUUUAUACUGUGGGCAGUUUGCAACAAAGACUCCAGUUGCCAUGCUGUCCUCAGGAGCCUUUCUCAUCCUCCAUGCUUGGUCAGCUGCCUGUGCAGUGCGGAGGUGCCGCCGGCCUGGUUUUGCCAAUCACCAGUGGACGCUGACAGCCAUCUGACGGGAACGUCACCUUUUUUUCCCACGUCUUCCCCCAGCAUGUUGCUUUAAAGUAGACGUGCUCGAGUGUGUUCAUGCACACCAAAGCAGGUCAUGCCAAAGGAGUCGCAGAUCGGAGGCUGGGGUGGGAGCUCUCCUCUCACCUUCUGAUAGCCUGGGACCCCUGACCCAGGCCAGAACCUCCCACCGAGGAACUGCCUUGCCCACAAGCACUUUCUUAUGGCCUAAAAGUCUGUGUGGCCACUGAGGGGCCUGGAAUCUGGGACGUAAUGGUCACAGUGAGGGAAGGCAUGGGACAUAGUGAUUGUGUGCAUGGAGUGCUGUCUCCAUUUAAUGCAAUGCAGUGUGUGGUUUGGUGCACAUAUUCCUGUUUUCCAUUAAAUUAACUUUAUUUCUAAAGCAUAUUUUGAUUUACCGUCAAGAGCAAUAAAGCAUUAAAUCUUAUUUUUAAAGGCAUACUGUUUAUCAUUGAAAAAUGGUGAAAUUUUAGCUUAUAUAGUCUACUGUCAUCCCAGAAGGUAGAAGCACGCACAAAUUAGGGAAGAUAUGGGUAAUUUGCCCAAGGCCUUUGAACAGAAAAGUUAGGGAGUGAGAAGCAAG
rnacentral:lncRNA from 1 species